rnacentral:rRNA from 1 species
UUAGCCACACCUGAGCCCGCAACUGCUGCCUCUACUCCGCCUACUUCUUGUGCCGACUUCGCCAGCCUCGCGGGGUACCGAUUUCCUCCUGCUUUGUGUCCGUGCCAUUGA